UUUCCAAUAGCGGAGGAAAAGAAACCAACAGGGAUUGCCUUAGUAGCGGCGAGUGAAGCGGCAAAAGCUCAAAUUUGAAAUCUGGCACCUUCGGUGUCCGAGUUGUAAUUUGAAGAUUGUAACCUUGGGGUUGGCUCUUGUCUAUGUUUCUUGGAACAGGACGUCACAGAGGGUGAGAAUCCCGUGCGAUGAGAUGCCCAAUCCUAUGUAAGGUGCUUUCGAAGAGUCGAGUUGUUUGGGAAUGCAGCUCUAAGUGGGUGGUAAAUUCCAUCUAAAGCUAAAUAUUGGCGAGAGACCGAUAGCGAACAAGUACAGUGAUGGAAAGAUGAAAAGAACUUUGAAAAGAGAGUGAAAAAGUACGUGAAAUUGUUGAAAGGGAAGGGUUUGAGAUCAGACUCGAUAUUUUGUGAGCCUUGCCUUCGUGGCGGGGUGACCCGCAGCUUAUCGGGCCAGCAUCGGUUUGGGCGGUAGGAUAAUGGCGUAGGAAUGUGACUUUGCUUCGGUGAAGUGUUAUAGCCUGCGUUGAUGCUGCCUGCCUAGACCGAGGACUGCGAUUUUAUCAAGGAUGCUGGCAUAAUGAUCCCAAACCGCCCGUCUUGAACAACCGGACC
rnacentral:rRNA from 1 species